GGCUUCAGCUUCCCAUCCCGCCUGGGGACCGAGCCGCCAGCCGCAGACAUGACCCCCAGCCUGGCCAUCGCCUUCCUCCUGCUGCUCCCCGCGGGUGUCUAUUCCCAGGUCAGCCUGGUGGAGUCCGGUGGGGGAGUCAAGAAGCCCGGGGAGACCCUCAGACUGACCUGCACCAUGUCCGGAUUCUCUCUCACUAGCUACGCGGUGAACUGGGCCCGCCAGCCCGCGGGGAAAGGGCUGGACUGGCUGGGAGUUAUCUGGACUGAUGGAAGCAAUAACUAUAAUGAUGCUUUCAAAAAUCGGCUCACCAUCAGCAGAGACACCUCCAAAAGCCAAGUGUUCCUGCAACUGACCGGCUUGCAGCCAAGAGACACCUCCGUGUACCACUGUGCCGGACACACAGUGAGGGGAAACCUAUUACAGCCCCCACUAAAACCAACCUUGCAGAGAAGCAGCCUUCCCGUGUGA